UCCCUGGUGGCCCAGAUGGUAAAGCAUCUGCCUGCAGUGCGGGAGACCCAGGUUCAAUCCCUGGGUCGGGAA
rnacentral:tRNA from 1 species